rnacentral:rRNA from 1 species
CAGUAGCCGCGGGAAUACGUAGGGUGCGAGCGUUAAUCGGAAUUACUGGGCGUAAAGCGUGCGCAGGCGGUUUUGUAAGACAGAGGUGAAAUCCCCGGGCUCAACCUGGGAACUGCCUUUGUGACUGCAAGGCUAGAGUACGGCAGAGGGGGAUGGAAUUCCGCGUGUAGCAGUGAAAUGCGUAGAUAUGCGGAGGAACACCGAUGGCGAAGGCAAUCCCCUGGGCCUGUACUGACGCUCAUGCACGAAAGCGUGGGGAGCAAACAGGAUUAGAUACCCCUGUAGUCCCUGUCUCUUAUAA